UCUACUAAAGGAAAAUAGC
rnacentral:tRNA from 2 species